UGGGGAAUAUUGCACAAUGGGCGCAAGCCUGAUGCAGCCAUGCCGCGUGUAUGAAGAAGGCCUUCGGGUUGUAAAGUACUUUCAGUCGGGAGGAAGGUGGUAAGGUUAAUAACCUUGGCAAUUGACGUUACCGACAGAAGAAGCACCGGCUAACUCCGUGCCAGCAGCCGCGGUAAUACGGAGGGUGCAAGCGUUAAUCGGAAUUACUGGGCGUAAAGCGCACGCAGGCGGUUUGUUAAGUCAGAUGUGAAAUCCCCGGGCUCAACCUGGGAACUGCAUCUGAUACUGGCAAGCUUGAGUCUCGUAGAGGGGGGUAGAAUUCCAGGUGUAGCGGUGAAAUGCGUAGAGAUCUGGAGGAAUACCGGUGGCGAAUGCGGCCCCCUGGACAAAGACUGACGCUCAGGUGCGAAAGCGUGGGGAGCAAACAGG
rnacentral:rRNA from 1 species